UUCUAGCAACUAGAUAAUUGAACAAGCAUGAAGAUUUUGAUGAACAUGAUUUGUUCUUCACAAGAGUUUCAGAAGCUAGUCACUUGUCAAGCAAAUCUCUGAACUUAAUUAACCACAUGGCUGAAUCACAUUUUCCGUGAUAACUGCUAGUAACCUUUCCGAUUGCAAUUAUGCAUAAUGACUCCAUCAUAUCUUUGUCCACAACUACUCUGUAUUGAAUGGAAUCAGUCUCACAGAAGACGCUCCUCAAGCGGCAGUGGUCUCCGUGUUAGACGGACUUAACCAAAGCCAGGGACAAGCAGCCUCUCGAGUAAUAAACACUGACGCACCUUUUCCCUGGUCUACCUGGCUUCUCUGUCACCUAGCUGAUGAUUGUCACAGAGCUCACUCCUGAACACAACAGGUAUUGUGAAUGAGUACAAGACAGUGAGAGAUGUAAGGCAUUAAAAAUGCCCCCAAAGCCAAGAGGUCUCAAAAACAGAAGACUGUGCUGUCCUUUUCUGCCAUUAAGUCCACUUCUGGUGAAUGUUGCCUUGUCCAUAUUUGUAUGCUGGUCACUGGCGGAAGGACUUGCAGACAUUUC